rnacentral:rRNA from 1 species
GCUUACGGCCAUACCACCCUGAACACGCCCGAUCUCGUCUGAUCUCGGAAGCUAAGCAGGGUCGGGCCUGGUCAGUACUUUGAUGGGAGACCGCCUGGGAAUACCAGGUGCUGUAAGCU